CGGCGGACGGGUGAGUAACACGUGGAUAACCUACCUAUAAGACUGGGAUAACUUCGGGAAACCGGAGCUAAUACCGGAUAAUAUUUUGAACCGCAUGGUUCAAAAGUGAAAGACGGUCUUGCUGUCACUUAUAGAUGGAUCCGCGCUGCAUUAGCUAGUUGGUAAGGUAACGGCUUACCAAGGCAACGAUGCAUAGCCGACCUGAGAGGGUGAUCGGCCACACUGGAACUGGGACACGGUCCAG
rnacentral:rRNA from 1 species